AAUGCCAUCAAAUAUUAUAAUGACUUUGAUAUAUUAACUAACUAAAAUAUAGCUAUAAUACAGAGAGCAACAAUAAAUACAGAAACCAACAAGAAGAUCAUUUUCAGUUUUCUACAACAUCUGUACCUUUUCUUAACAACUGAAAUAUUCUGUUCACUUUUGGUAUAGUAUUUGUUCCUAAUCUAAAUAAACAAAUCAUAACAAACAAAU
rnacentral:lncRNA from 1 species